UGAACGCUGGCGGUAUGCUUAACACAUGCAAGUCGAACGGUAACAGCGGAAGCUUGCUUCUGGCUGACGAGUGGCGGACGGGUGAGUAACGCGUGGGAAUCUGCCUUAUAGUGGGGGAUAGCCCGGAGAAAUCCGGAUUAAUACCGCAUACGCCCUACGGGGGAAAGCUGGGGAUCUUCGGACCUGGCGCUAUUAGAUGAGCCCGCGUUAGAUUAGCUAGUUGGUGGGGUAAAGGCCUACCAAGGCAACGAUCUAUAGCUGGUCUGAGAGGACGAUCAGCCACACUGGGACUGAGACACGGCCCAGACUCCUACGGGAGGCAGCAGUGGGGAAUAUUGCACAAUGGGCGCAAGCCUGAUGCAGCAAUACCGCGUGUGUGAAGAAGGCCUGAGGGUUGUAAAGCACUUUCAAUUGUGAGGAAAAGCUUUUGGUUAAUAACCUUGAGUCUUGACGUUAGCAAUACAAGAAGCACCGGCUAACUCC
rnacentral:rRNA from 1 species